GGGAUACCUCGGAGACGGGAGGGGGCAUUUUCGCCAGGGCUCACACGGCCACAAUUCAGAGGGCGAGACUGAAUGUGACCUGGCCUGGGGCCGAGUCACAAGACGAGGCAGACCGCCGCGGGCCCAGAGCAGGUGGCGCCAAAUGAGGAGAGCCUGCUACACCAGGCCUGCACAAGGGAUCGUCAGAAUCCGGGGCUGCCUGCCAAGGUGGUGAAUCAUGAGGCUUUGAAAUCAAGCACCGAACCAGAUGCAAAUGCCUGCACCAUUUGAAGCCCUGCAUUCUGCAGCGGGUAACGUCCCGACUGACGGCGAGGAGAGCCGGGCCCGCGCACGCGGUGGCCGCUCAGUUCUUUGAAUGCAGCUGUAAAGUUCCGCCUCCCCGUUUUAUUUUUAGGUAUUAAAGGCAGCAGAUGGAAUCCAUAACAAAACCACAGGGAAUGACUUGCUUUUCAGUUUAAAGGGGACUCUUGCUCGUUAGCUUUAUCCCCAGGAGCUGGAUUGACAGCCUUAACUCGCCUUCAUGCCAAAAGGGGCCAGAACUGGCCCCUUGGGAAUCUCCCCAUGGAGUGACCCUCCCCAAUUAGAGUGGAGCUGAUGAGGGUCCUGCUCCCAGCCCCCGCAACAGAGGGUGGAUCAGGGGCACAGCUACCGUGCAGUGUGCUGUAGCUAUCCUCCACUUCCCUGGGGAAUCCGAGAGCAACUCGGAGCAGCCUUGAGGUUGCUCUAACUCAUACUCCAAUUUAUACGGGAGGCCAGGUGGGCCUCUGCCCAGACCAAGAAUACAAGGAGCACAAAGGAGUCGUGAAGCCCCAGCUACAGGAACAAAGUGACUGAGAAGCAGGCGCCUGUAUCUAUAAAGAUCAGAAGCCCAGUAAAGAUCAGGAAGCCGAGAGCUGGGCAAAGCUCUGCCCAGUUCACGUACCCCUAGCCACACGUUUACUCCUACAUCCAUGUAGCUAGCACGGGUAACCAGCCGCCAGCUGCAUGUUUAAAACCACAUUAAGCACCAGAUACUUCUUGUAUCCACGCAGCUCGAGCUAUGGGAGCUCUGCUGAGUAGGGACACCCUGGCUGGGGAAUGGCACAUGGAAAACAACAGGGCUAUUCCUGUAACUGGGUAACUGGGUCACCCUGUACAUUCCCUGGGAUUAGCCGCAGCAGGAUUGUGCUUAACCUGCGCCCUGGACCCGUUGGCUCCAAAGCCGGAUGUUCCUACCACUCCUCUCUCUCUCUCCUCUUUUUAACCAAAUAUCUGUUCUUUCCCCGCCACCUCCGGCAGCCCUGAAACUCUACCAGUCCAAAGCACACAACUCUCCAGUGCUGGAAAACAGCCUUACGGCUCCCUAGCAAAGGG